ACGCCCGCGUCCCUGCGCCCCGCGCUCCGCCGCCUGCCGCCUGCCUGCCACUGCCUCCCGCCGCCGCCGCCGCCGCGGCCAGCCAAACCCUGCCCUGCCCUGCCCUGCCCUGCCGCCCGCCCAGGGCACGGGAGGCCUCGGGCACCCCGGGGACUGUGGGCGGGCGGGGCGCAAGUCUAGGCGCUCUCCCAAGCCGGCCCCGGACGCUCCAGGCCUCCUUCCCGCUGGCUUCCUGGCUAUAGAUUAGGCGAAAGAAACUUUGGUAAUAUAUUUCUUUAAAUCUUGGCUCAUGGAUCCAAACAAAUCUGGUCGGGUCUCCUCUGAAGUUCAGAAUAAUAUAAAAAGGCCCAUCCUUUGUCAGGCUGUAAGAAAAUAAUUUCUCAGAUACCAUUGUGUAAAAGCAUCCUGCCUUUGUCAUGGAAUCAGUGACAUAUCUUUCGUUGAUCAAAACAGCAGUGGGAGUACCUGUGGAGCAAUGAUAAGGAUUCAGGAAAUAGUUUACGAUUCAAGUGCAUCCUAAAGUUGGAGCAACCCUGGCUAGAAUAUCAUAGAUCCUUGAGUUGGCAGAGACCUUUCACUCUUCAGUAUAUUUAUAUUCAACGCAAAGAUCCUUCCUUCUAUAUCAUCCUUGACAACAGACCACCUAGAUUCUGUGUAAAUAAUUCCGAUGACAAGAAACGCAUUAAAUAAAGAGACCCCUUUGUUUUUAGAGUUUUAAAUGUUU
rnacentral:lncRNA from 1 species